GAAAUGUCUGCUACAGAGACAAACUGAAGUUUGUGUAUAUCGUGCUGAUUCAGAAGAGAAUGAAGGCAUUUGUCAAGAGAUAAUGUCAGACUAAUCAGACAUGUUCCAAUCGAUUAAUGCAUUUGGAGGAUUUCCAAAUAUUUGCUGAUCUAAGGAAGGUAUAUGAUGGGAAACAAAUCUGAGAAAAGAAGGACGGUGGAUGCUUUCCCAUUUUGACCUGUGAUCAUUUUGGUAAGAACACUUUACUCAAUUAAGAGGUGAUCAAGUGAUUCCAGGCCUGCUGCUAAAUAAUUAUGAGAUGAUAUUUGGAAAUAUGUAUUUCUCCUUUACCUCCUGAAGCCACAGGUAUGUGCCUGAGGUUCUCAACAAAUGGCUGAUUAUCUCUCAGAAUAUUCAGUUGUCUGGUAGCUGGCACUAAUAGCUCGGAAUAAGCCAUGUUUAACUUCAGGAUCCAUCUGGACUCUUGGCCACUAGUGGUAGGUAAUACUAGUUGCAGAAUUCAGUUUCUCUGAGCCUGUGAAAACUGCCUGAUUUUAUUUCAAAUUCAUUUUGCAUCCUGUGGGAUGGAUUUGAGAUCAGAGCAAGAUAUUCAACCUUAUUUUUGUUAAUCUUGCCCCAAAUAUGAUCCAGAUUAACCUUUCUUAACACAAAUUUGCAUUUUUUACAAAUAUCAUUUUUAAUGAAAUUAAAAUCUAUGAUUAUUAACGUUAAUAUUGUGCAAGUAGCAUUUGUAAUAUAAAGGUUUCAAAAAAGGAAGAUAAUUUGAUUUACUGGAGACUUAUUUUGCCAUUUUCAACUUGGAAGCCCAGGACUCAAACAAAAGUAUUGUUUGAAAACUGUUGGGGUUGAUUAUUACUUAUGCUGGAAGUUUCAAAAAAAAAUUUUUAGAAAAAAAGAAAGCUGUUUUGUUCUAAUAAUUUGAAAUUUUAACAGUUAAAUUAUUGCUAAAUUUGCAUAAGAUUUGCUCUGUAAGACAAUACUUUUUAUAAUUGUUAACAUGUAGUUGUUUUACUUAUUUGUGCAUACUAGGUUAAUAUAUACAUAGUCAUAUUAAUAUAUGUUUGUAUGUAUACAUACUUAAAUAUAAAUUUUAUUUUUUAAAUGCAUGAUUUAAGAUUUUGUCAUAAAUUGUUAUAAAUUGUUUUGUGGAGUUUAUGCAUUUUGUAAAUUUGAUGGUGGCAGAUGGUGUACAUGUGAGUUAAUUGAAUAGAUCUUUCAUAGUCUGGCACUUUUUAUGCUUUUAGAAUUUGGAGAAGUUAGUCUUUACUGAUGAAUAGAGAGCUAUUGUACUUUAGAAACUAUUGAGCAAACAUAAAAUUUUAAGAACAACUUAUUUUUAUCCUAUGGAUUUUCCUAUUAUGUUUAAAUUUGCUCUUUUAGUUUGUUUUUAGAGCUCCCCUCAAGAAACAUACUCUUUGUUUUUAAUGCUCAAUCCUUUUUUAUUCUUUGUAGAAACUAGUGGUCUCCUAUUAAGUAAAUAGAUGUGUGUCUCAUUAGAGGGAUCCAUUCUAAAACAGAAGAGGACAACACUCAGGGAGGGCUGCAGUGAGACAGAGAAUCCUGAGAUUGUUCCUGAUGUGCAGAUCUUCACCUGGGGCUGCAGAAGACUGUACAGCUAUAGACAAAAUAAUGUUAAGGUAUAGAUGUCAUGGAAAGCCAGAACAUAGGAGUGAAUCCAUCCUACAGUCUGAAGGCAGAAACAAGGCCAUAAAUGGGGUUGGGGGAGAAACCCUGUGGUAAGAAUCUGUAGAGAUGAGGAAAAAAUUGUAGCUUUUAAGGUAGGUUAGGAACUGGCAGUUCAGAGCAAUGCCAGGGUAUUAGAAACUCACUCUAGUGUCAUCUAAGUUUCCCAAUAUAGGAUUGAGUGGACCUCAUCAUAUUAGCCACAUUCAAGGAAUAUAUGUAUGUUAUAGAAGUCAAUGAUUACAUUAAAAUAUUAAGUUUGAACACAAGUUCUAAUUUAUUUUUAUCACUAUUUCUUAAUAGCAAUUAAUUCUUUGGGGCUUCAAUUACUGACUGUAUUCCAAACAGUUACCAACAGUUCACUUCUUUAAUCGCAGAACUUACACCAUUUCCAAAUAACCAAUGUAAAUUUUUACCUUGGAUAUUAUUUUGUUACCCACAAACAACAAAUGUGAAUUUAGAUUUAUCAUCUUCCUCUGGGACUGAAUUUCCCCUGUAAUAUUGUUUUUUGUUGAUUUGUUUGUUUUGUAGUGGCAUCCCCAGCCCCUAUGUACCUAUGUUUGAUUUAUCUUUUAUUUCCUUCUUUUAUACUUAAACCUUAAGGUGGAUUGGAAAGUUGAUAUCAGUGACACAAAGUUUAGUUGAUUGGGUACUUUACAUUUCUACUUGACUUUGUACAUUUCUGAUUUAUAUGAACAACAAGCAACUAGGACUAAGCCUCCUUCAUUGCCCUAAGAGGUCUAUUAUAUUUCUAGUGAUUUUACCUAGGGGAUCUAUACAUGUACUAACAGUAGAAAUUAGAGGUGCAACACUACUGGCCAGAAUAUAGCAACAUCCUAAGUACAUUAAUAAUGUGUAAAGUGCCCAGCAUGUAAGGCACAAAUAAAAAUAGGGAAUGUCAUUUUAUUAAAUUAUCAGAAGUUAUGGGUCAUAUUCAAACAGAAAUAUUCUAAGAAAUUCAAUUCUAAGAAAUUCAACUUACUUUUAAUGUCAAUGUUUCUGAAAUUGGUAAACAUCAUUGAUGUCAAAAAGCCUUCUAUGCAUGAAAUAAAUUAUACUUGUCAUUUCUGAGCUUAUGGUAACAUGGUCAAGAAUUAAAGGUAUAUUCAUCUGA